UACGUAGGGUGCGAGCGUUAAUCGGAAUUACUGGGCGUAAAGCGUGCGCAGGCGGUCUGUUAAGACCGAUGUGAAAUCCCCCGGCUUAACCUGGGAACUGCGUCUGAUACUGGGAGGCUUGAGUAUGGGAGAGGGAUGUAGAAUUCCAGGUGUAGCGGUGAAAUGCGUAGAUAUCUGGAGGAAUACCGGUGGCGAAGGCGGCAUCCUGGACCAUAACUGACGCUGAGGCGCGAAAGCUAGGGGAGCAAACGGG
rnacentral:rRNA from 1 species